UGUGUCUGCUUUACCAUUCUCAAGUCGUCUUCUUUUCUCUCUCUAUUUUUUUUAACUUCACAGUUCACACAAACAGUUCGCAGUAGGGUUUUUAAUCUCUACUCUUCUCUUCAUAGAGUUCUUCGAGAAGAUAAAACCUAAAUUAAUCUAACACCAAACAAAGCCAGGACGAAGUGGCUAACGUUUGUCUCUUCAAAUUUCAGAGACCUGACUUAACUUUUUCCCUUUUUGUUUUUUUUUUUAUGAUGAGCUGACUCACUUGCUCCAAACCCUAAAAUCCCAUUCCCAGAAUGACCCGUUUGAUGGAAUUUCUGCAUACCCAUUUGUGCUAAACUCAUCAAUCAUGCUCUUGUCAAUUAAGCCCAGUUCAUUCGUAUAGGUGAGACAUGGAAGGGGACGAGCGUGGGCUUGUAUUGGCAUGUGCAAUUUCGGGUGCCCUUUUCGCGUUUUUUGGUUCUGCUUCGUUUUCUAUACUAUGGGCGGUGAAUUGGCGGCCAUGGCGGCUGUACAGUUGGAUCUUUGCUAGAAAAUGGCCAGCCAUCUUACAAGGGCCUCAGCUGGGAGUGCUAUGUGGUUUUCUGUCCCUGUCAGCAUGGAUGGUUGUUAUAUCUCCAAUUGUGGUGCUUAUCAUGUGGGGAUGCUGGUUGAUUAUAAUAUUGGGACGAGAUCUUAUCGGUCUCGCUGUAAUAAUGGCUGGCACUGCUCUCCUGUUGGCGUUCUAUUCAGUCAUGCUCUGGUGGAGAACACGGUGGCAAAACUCACGUGCAGUUGCAAUUCUUCUUCUUUUGGCAGUUUCCCUACUAUGUGCAUAUGAACUCUGUGCGGUGUAUGUGACUGCUGGUAAAAAUGCUUCAGAGCGAUAUUCGCCCUCUGGGUUCUUUUUUGGGGUAUCUGCAAUUGCCUUGGCAAUCAACAUGCUAUUUAUUUGUCGAAUGGUCUUUAACGGGAACGGUCUAGAUGUGGAUGAGUAUGUGCGGAGGGCAUACAAGUAUGCCUAUUCUAAAAGUAUAGAAAUGGGUCCUGUUGCUUGUUUACCAGAACCUCCUGACCCCACUGAAUUGUAUCCUCGACAAUCUCGUAGGGCUUCCCAUCUUGGACUUCUGUACCUUGGCUCACUUGUGGUGCUUCUUGUUUACUCCAUCCUUUAUGGUUUGACAGCAAAGGAGGCACGUUGGCUUGGAGCCAUUACAUCAACUGCUGUUAUAAUUCUUGAUUGGAAUAUGGGGGCAUGCUUGUAUGGGUUUCAACUUCUUCAAAGUCGAGUCGCAGCACUUUUUGUUGCUGGUGCAUCUCGGGUUUUUCUUAUUUGUUUUGGAGUGCACUACUGGUAUUUCGGGCAUUGUAUUAGUUAUGCAGUUGUAGCUUCUGUGCUCUUGGGUGCUGCUGUCUCUCGUCAUCUAUCUGUUACAAACCCAUUAGCUGCAAGGAGAGAUGCAUUACAAAGCACUGUGAUUCGACUGAGAGAGGGUUUUCGCAGAAAGGAACAGAACAGUUCAUCUAGCUCAUCUGAAGGCUGUGGCUCUAGCAUGAAACGAAGCAGUAGUGCUGACGGGGGCAACCUUGGUAAUAUUGUUGAAGGUAAUAGUCGAAGUACAGUGCAGUGUACUGUGGAUGUUAACAACUGGAAUAAUACUAUUCUUUGUCGAAAUGGAAGUUCUCGCGAGGGAAUCAAUAGUGAUAAGAGCAUAGAUAGUGGACGACCAAGUUUAGCAAUACGUAGUACUUCUUGUCGUUCAAUUGUCCAAGAAGCCGAGGCAGGAACAUCCUUUACUGAGAAAUUUUUUGAGCAGAACAGCUCCUUGAUGGUUUGUCCAGGUGAUGGUCUUGAUAGCCAAGGUGAGUCUAGCACUUCGACUUCGGCUAACCAACAGCUCUUAGAUUUGAAUCUGGCUCUUGCAUUUCAAGAAAGAUUGAGUGACCCAAGGAUCACGUCUAUUCUGAAAAAGAAGGCAAGACAAGGGGACCGAGAACUGGCUACUUUAUUGAAUGAUAAAGGAUUGGAUCCAAAUUUUGCAAUGAUGUUGAAGGAAAAGAGUUUGGAUCCAACUAUCCUAGCAUUACUGCAAAGGAGUAGCUUGGAUGCUGACAGAGAUCAUCGAGACAAUACUGAUAAUACAAUUGUUGAUUCAAAUAGUGGUGAAAAUGCAAUGCCCAACCAAAUUUCUCUGUCUGAAGAGCUUAGACUUCAUGGUCUUGAAAAGUGGCUUCAGUUGUCCAGACUUGUUUUACAUCAUGUGGCUGGUAGUCCAGAGAGAGCAUGGGUACUCUUUAGCUUAAUCUUCAUCGUUGAAACAAUAGUUGUCGCGAUAUUCCGUCCAAAGACGAUCAAUGUCAUAAAUACUACUCAUCAACAGUUUGAAUUUGGUUUUGCGGUGCUGCUGCUAUCUCCUGUUGUCUGUUCAAUAAUGGCUUUCCUCAAGUCUAUGCAGGCGGAAGAAAUGGCUAUGACUUCAAAGCCCCGCAAGUACGGUUUUAUUGCAUGGCUACUCAGCACUUGUGUUGGAUUGUUGCUUUCCUUCUUAAGUAAAUCAUCAAUGCUAUUAGGGGUGUCCUUGACUGUCCCGCUCAUGGUGGCAUGCAUUUCUGUUGCCAUUCCUAUUUGGAUCCAUAAUGGGUACCAGUUUUGGUUACCACGAGUACAAUGUGCUGGUCAUUCAGGGAACAAUCACCCUCGUGGGAAAAAGGAGGGUGUUGUUCUUGCCACUUGUAUAAUAGUAUUUACUGGAUCUGUAAUAGCUCUGGGUGCUAUAGUAUCUGUACAGCCUUUAGAUGAUUUGGGAUACACAGUAUUGGCUGGUGAUCAGAGAGGAUCUACUUCUCCUUAUGCCUCAUCUGUGUACCUUGGCUGGGCAAUAGCUUCGGCAAUUGCUUUACUAGUUACUGGGGUGCUGCCAAUUGUUUCAUGGUUUUCUACAUACCGGCUCUCGUUCUCUUCUGCUAUUUGUGUUGGUAUUUUUGCAGUUGUGCUUGUGGCCUUUUGUGGUACAUCCUAUUUGGAAGUUGUCAAAUCUAGGGGUGACCAAGUACCAACAAAUGGUGAUUUCCUUGCUGCUCUUCUUCCUCUAACGUGCAUUCCAGCACUGCUGUCACUUUGCUCUGGAUUGCUUAAGUGGAAAGAUGAUGAUUGGAAAUUUUCUCGAGGUGUAUACAUCUUUAUUUUCAUUGGUCUUCUUCUACUGCUUGGUGCAAUAUCAGCUGUCAUAGUUGUUAUCAAACCUUGGGCUAUAGGUGUAGCAUUUCUAUUAGUUCUCAUGCUGGUCGUACUAGCUAUCGGUGUUAUUCACCUCUGGGCUUCAAAUAACUUCUAUUUAACCAGGAUGCAGAUGUUCUUUGUUUGUUUCCUUGCUUUUCUUUUGGCUUUGGCAGCAUUUAUUGUCGGAUGGUUUGAAGAUAAACCAUUUGUUGGAGCAUCUGUUGGUUAUUUUUCAUUUCUAUUUCUUCUUGCUGGAAGAGCACUAACAGUUCUCCUUUCACCUCCCAUUGUAGUUUAUUCCUCGAGAGUAUUGCCUGUUUAUGUUUAUGAUGCUCAUGCAGACUGUGGAAAGAAUGUCAGUGCUGCUUUUCUUGUUUUAUAUGGGAUUGCAUUGGCUACGGAAGGCUGGGGUGUUGUUGCGAGUUUGAUAAUUUAUCCACCGUUUGCUGGGGCUGCCGUAUCAGCAGUAACUCUUGUUGUCGCCUUUGGAUUUGCAGUAUCUCGUCCGUGUCUCACUCUGGAGAUGAUGGAAGAAGCAGUUCAUUUUCUCAGUAAGGAUACCAUUGUUCAAGCCAUAGCUCGAUCUUCCACAAAGACAAGAAAUGCUCUAUCUGGAACUUAUUCAGCACCACAGAGAUCUGCUAGUUCUGCGGCUCUUUUGGUUGGAGACCCUAUGGCUAAAUAUGAUAUGGCAGGAAAUUUUGUACUUCCCAGAGACGAUGUCAUGAAAUUGAGAGAUCGUCUUAGGAAUGAGGAGAUGGUUGCCGGAUCACUCUUCUGCAGACUGAGAUGCAGAGGAACCUUUCACCAUGAUAUGGAUUACAGAAGAGAAACAUGUACACAUGCACGGAUUUUGGCUUUGGAAGAGGCCAUUGAUACUGAAUGGGUUUACAUGUGGGACAGGUUUGGUGGUUAUUUACUGCUUUUGCUUGGCUUAACUGCUAAAGCAGAACGAGUUCAGGAUGAGGUGCGUUUGAGACUCUUCCUUGAUAGCAUUGGUUUUUCAGACCUAAGUGCUAAGAAAAUAAAAAAGUGGAUGCCAGAGGACCGCAGGCAGUUUGAAAUUAUUCAAGAGAGUUAUUUAAGGGAGAAGGAGAUGGAAGAGGAAAUCUUAAUGCAGAGACGUGAAGAAGAGGGGAAAGGUAAAGAAAGAAGGAAAGCUCUGUUGGAGAAGGAAGAACGUAAGUGGAAGGAGAUUGAAGCUUCUCUUAUUUCCUCUAUUCCAAAUGCUGGUAGCAGGGAGGCAGCAGCCAUGGCAGCUGCUGUGCGUGCAGUAGGAGGUGAUUCUGUUCUAAAUGACUCUUUUGCACGAGAGAGGGUUUCAAGCAUUGCACGUCGGAUACGUACUACUCAAUUAGCUCGGCGAGCGCUUCAGACGGGAAUUAUAGGUGCUGUAUGUGUUCUUGAUGAUGAACCAACAACAAGUGGCAGACACUGUGGGCAAAUUGAUCCCAGCAUAUGUCUUAGUCAGAAGGUCAGCUUUUCUGUUGCAGUGAUGAUCCAACCGGAAUCUGGUCCAGUUUGUCUUCUAGGUACUGAGUUUCAGAAGAAAGUGUGCUGGGAAAUUCUGGUGGCUGGUUCUGAGCAAGGUAUUGAGGCUGGACAAGUUGGGCUUAAACUGAUCACUAAGGGAGAGAGGCAGACUACUGUUGCAAAAGAGUGGAGUAUUAGUGCCACUAGUAUUGCUGAUGGAAGGUGGCAUAUUGUCACAAUGACGAUUGAUGCUGUUUUAGGUGAGGCAACUUGUUACCUAGAUGGGGGUUUUGACGGUUACCAAGCCGGCUUACCGUUGGGUGUGGGGAAUAGCAUUUGGGAGCAAGGGACGGAAGUUUGGGUUGGUGUUAGACCUCCCACUGAUGUGGAUGCGUUUGGGAGAUCAGAUAGUGAAGGAGCUGAGUCUAAAAUGCAUCUAAUGGAUGUUUUCCUGUGGGGGAGGUGCUUGACUGAAGAUGAGAUAGCUGCUCUUCACACUGUUGUAGGCUCCACAGGCCUCAAUUUGACUGAUUUUCCAGAAGAUAAUUGGCAAUGGGCAGAUUCACCUUCCAGAGUCGAUGAGUGGGAGAGUGAUCCUGCAGAUGUAGAUCUAUAUGAUAGGGAUGAUGUAGACUGGGACGGCCAGUAUUCUAGUGGGAGGAAAAGGAGGUCAGAACGUGAUGGGGUGGUGGUUGAUGUGGAUUCUUUUACUAGGAAGUUCAGAAAGGCUAGAAUGGAAACAAAGGAAGAAAUCAUUCAACGCAUGCUUUCGGUGGAAAUGGCUGUCAAAGAAGCCCUAUCUGCUAGAGGGGAAGCACACUUCACAGAUCAUGAAUUCCCGCCAGAUGAGCAAUCACUGUUUGUAGAUCCGGAGAAUCCUCCUUCAAAGUUGCUGGUUGUUUCUGAGUGGAUGCGGCCUGCAGAAAUUUUGAAAGACAGUCACUUGGGUUCUCAGCCAUGUUUAUUUUCUGGGGCUGUAAACCCCUCUGAUGUUUGUCAGGGACGAUUAGGUGAUUGUUGGUUUUUGAGUGCCGUUGCUGUUUUGACGGAGAUUUCACGAAUAUCAGAAGUUAUUAUUACCCCAGAAUAUAAUGAAGAAGGGAUUUACACUGUCCGCUUCUGUAUUCAGGGUGAGUGGGUCCCUGUCGUGGUUGAUGAUUGGAUUCCAUGUGAAGCCCCUGGUAAACCAGCCUUUGCUACAAGCAGGAAGGGUAAUGAACUCUGGGUAUCUUUACUGGAAAAGGCAUAUGCCAAAUUGCAUGGCUCUUAUGAGGCAUUAGAAGGUGGGCUUGUUCAGGAUGCCCUUGUAGACCUUACUGGGGGUGCUGGUGAGGAGAUUGACAUGAGAAGUGCCCAGGCACAGAUUGAUCUUGCCAGUGGUAGAUUGUGGUCACAAUUGUUGCGCUUUAAACAGGAGGGCUUUCUACUUGGUGCUGGGAGUCCAUCGGGUUCUGAUGUGCACAUUUCUUCCAGUGGCAUUGUACAAGGGCAUGCUUAUUCCUUGUUGCAGGUAAGGGAGGUGGACGGACACAAACUUGUUCAAAUACGAAAUCCAUGGGCUAAUGAAGUUGAGUGGAAUGGUCCAUGGUCCGACUCAUCACCUGAAUGGACUGAUAGGAUGAAGCACAAGCUGAAGUAUGUCCCUCAGUCAAAAGAUGGUAUAUUCUGGAUGUCUUGGCAAGACUUUCAGAUUCACUUUCGAUCAAUAUAUGUUUGCCGUGUUUAUCCGCCCGAGAUGCGGUAUUCUGUCCAUGGCCAAUGGCGAGGUUACAGUGCUGGGGGCUGCCAAGAUUAUGAUUCAUGGCAUCAAAAUCCACAGUUCCGGCUGAGGGCCACUGGUCCAGAUGCAUCACUUCCAGUUCAUUUGUUCAUUACCCUAACUCAGGGCGUGAGCUUCUCAAGAACGACAGCUGGGUUCAGAAAUUAUCAAUCUAGUCAUGAUACAAUGAUGUUCUAUAUUGGGAUGAGAAUACUCAAAACUCGUGGUCGUCGUGCUGGUUACAGCAUUUACCUGCAUGAAUCUGUUGGUGGGACAGAUUAUGUCAAUUCUCGAGAAAUAUCAUGCGAAAUGGUUUUGGAUCCUGAUCCCAAGGGUUACACAAUAGUGCCUACAACUAUACACCCUGGAGAGGAAGCACCAUUUGUUCUUUCAGUUUUCUCAAAGACGUCGAUAACCCUAGAACCUCUAUGAUAUGCUGCAAUGUUACCUCAGUUUUUUUACCCUCACGCUGAUAGCAGGUCUGCAAAAUUUUGCUGCGCUUGGGUUCAUAGAUCAGGUAUGCUCACUGGAGAUUUUGUUGAAUCACCGGCCAGUUGUGCAGGAUUGGUAGGCCGCAUGUGAAUCGGUUCUUAGCUGACCCAAUGCCUGUUAGCAACAAUUCACCGGACAGCACAGUUUUGAUCUGUAGAGUCCAAGGUACAUAUUCCCCUAUGAGCAUCAAGUGCAAUGAACCAGAAAGAAUGCUGAUCAGUUAGAAUCAGGUUGUUGAUGAAAUGUGGAGGCUGCCUCGGCCAACAUCGGUGAGGGUUCGCGGGGUGCUAAAUUGUACAUGUGUAGGUAUUUAUUUAAAUAUAGUUCUGAUCAUGUAAAUCAAGAGGAAAAGGGAAAAAAGAAAUAGUGAAAGAAUCACUAACAUCCAAUACAGAAAGCUUUGUAGCUGGAAAAAAGAGUGUAGUUUCAGCUACAGUUUUGAAAUGCUUUGUACUUUGUAGCCUGAACAGCCCAUUUAUUGUGUAUAAAACUAUAAAUGCUUAGCUUAUGCAAUAUAAUUUUAAUUUCAAUUGAUAUUCAA